UACGGGGGGGGCAAGCGUUGUUCGGAAUUACUGGGCGUAAAGGGCUCGUAGGCGGCCAACUAAGUCGGACGUGAAAUCCCUCAGCUUAACUGGGGAACUGCGUCCGAUACUGGAUGGCUUGGAUUCGGGAGAGGGAUGCGGAAUUCCAGGUGUAGCGGUGAAAUGCGUAGAUAUCAGGAGGAACACCUGCGGUGUAGACGGCUUACUGGACCUAACUGACGCUGAGGCACGAAAGCGUGGGUAGCAAACAGG
rnacentral:rRNA from 1 species